rnacentral:sRNA from 1 species
CGCCUUCUCGUCAUCUUUGAUUGGGCUU